rnacentral:rRNA from 1 species
AUGAACGCUGGCGGUAUGCUUAACACAUGCAAGUCGAACGGUCACUUCGGUGAUAGUGGCGGCCGGGUGAGUAACGCGUGAGAAUCUGUCUUCAGGUCGGGGACAACAGUUAGAAAUGACUGCUAAUACCGGAUGUGCCUUUGGGUGAAAGAUUUAUUGCCUGAAAAAGAGCUCGCGUCAGAUUAGCUAGUAGGUGGUGUAAGAGACUACCUAGGCUCCGAUCUGUAGCUGGUCUGAGAGGACGAUCAGCCACACUGGAACUGAGACACGGUCCAGACUCCUACGGGAGGCAGCAGUGGGGAAUUUUCCGCAAUGGGCGAAAGCCUGACGGAGCAAUACCGCGUGAGGGACGAAGGCUUUUGGGUCGUAAACCUCUUUUCUCAAGGAAGAUGAUGACGGUACUUGAGGAAUAAGCAUCGGCUAACUCUGUG